AUCGGGUUAGAAAACCCAUGGACUGAGCUCUUUGUCAGAAAUCUAGAAACUUUUGAAGUCAUUACAUGUUCAAGUUUGGAAAACUUGGCAACAUGCACAGUGUCUUUCACAAAUCUGAGAUGUUUAAAAGUAGAAAAUUGUGAUGGCUUGUCAUAUUUGUUCACAUCCUCAACAGCCAAAAGUUUGGGUCGACUUGAAAGAAUGGAGAUAAAACAGUGUAAAUCAAUUGAAGAGAUAGUGUGUGGGGAGGAAUCAGAUGAGAAUGAGAUAAUAUUUCCACAGCUCAAUUGUUUGAAUCUUGAAUAUUUGUGGAAUCUCCGAAGGUUCUACAAAGGGCGUUUAAAUUUCCCAUCCUUAGAAGAAUUAUCAGUAACACGUUGCGAGGAGAUGAUAACUUUAUGUCCAAGUACGCUAAAAGCAGACAAGUUGACUCGAGUGACAAUUGCUUACGGAAAAGUUAUUUCACUGGACACUGAUCUCAACUCUACUACGCGGAAGGAAUUUGGGAGGAAGAUUUCAGAACUUGAAGUACUUGAUCUCAAAAGUAGACCAAAAUUAUCAGAGAUGUGGCAUGACCCAAUGUAUACACCAGACUUAUGUUUCAGUGAGUUGGUCAACUUGAUUGUGAAAAACUGCCAGUUUUUAUCAGAUGCAGUGCUACCCUUCCAUUUACUUCCUUUAUUACCAAAAUUGGAGACAUUGGAAGUUGGAAACUGUGAUUCCGUGAAAACUAUAUUUGAUCUCAAACGUACUUCAAAAGACACAUUAGUUACUCUUCCUCUGAAGAAAUUGAGUUUAUCCAACUUAUCAAACCUGGAGAAUAUUUGGAGUGAAGAUCCUCAUGGGAUUCUAAGAAUGCAUCAUCUAAAAGAAGUACAUGUUAAGGAAUGUAAAGGCCUUACAAGUGUGUUUCCAGCUUCAGUGGCCAAAGAUAUAGUCGUGGACGAGUGCGAGGGAUUGAAGGCAAUUGUUGCAGAGGAAUCCAAGGAGGAUGAGAUAAUAUUUCCGCAACUCAUGUAUUUGGAGCUAGAAAGUUGCAAUAGCCUGCCAUAUUUGUUCACAUCUUCAACAGCAAAAAGUUUGGGUCAACUCAAAAGUAUGAAGAUCAAAGAAUGUAAAUCAAUUGAAGAGAUAAUAUCAAAGGAGGGGGAGGAAUCUGAUGAGAAUGUAAAAAUAAUAUUUGAGCAGCUGCAAGAUUUGUAUCUUGAAAAAUUAGAUGAGCUAAGGUAUUUCUACGCUGGCAAUUUUACUUUAAGCUUUCCAUCCUUGGAGGAAGUCCACAUCAUCAAGUGCAGCUCCAUGAAAACUUUCAGUGCAUUCAACAAAAUAGAUAAUCCGUGGUAUAUUCAGAAUAUGCGAGACCUCGAAAAGUAACUUAUCUUAAUUCUGCUCUACACAGAACUUCCGAAGAAGAGGCUCCCGAUGCUUCUAGGGCCAUCAUUUCAGUUAUUCAAUAGUUCAGAUAUUGAACAAGGUUGAGCCUCUGUUGCCGACUCCAAUAUUGCAGUAAUUAAGAGGAGAUUGAAGGCAUCAAGAAUGGAUGAAGAUGAAUGUGUCCGGAUUUUAUUACGUGUUUAAAAAAAAUGAAAAAAAAAAUGUGUUGUUCUACCUAGUUGAAGAUGAAUGUGUCCCUAUUUUAUUAAGUGUGAUUGUGUUUUAAAAAAAAAAAAAAAUUGUAUUGUUCUACCUAGUUGAAGCAGAAAGUGUCCCUAUUUUAUCAGGUGUGAUUGUGUUUUAAAAAAAAUUAAAAAAAAAAUGUGUUGUUGGACCUAGUUGAAGAUGAAAGACAUUAUUACUUGUAUUAUGUAAUGUGUGGGAUUAAAAGUGAUGAACGGUCAUGAAUAUUGAUUGAAGGCUGUAUCACUAAAUAUUCACUGUGGUUUAUUAGUAUAUGUGUGCUUAUGCUG